rfam:Microvirga lotononidis strain WSM3557 genomic scaffold Micloscaffold_3, whole genome shotgun sequence.
CGCCUAUUUUGCCCAGGCGGAGCUCGACCGCCGCUUCAAGCCAUGAAGGCCUUCAUCGACGAGCAUCGUGAGGUCUACGGGGUCGAGCCGAUCUGCCAUG